CGCCGUUGGUCCUCUCCAACA
rnacentral:miRNA from 1 species